rnacentral:SRP_RNA from 1 species
CCGUGCUAAGCGGGGAGGUAGCGGUGCCCUGUACCCGCAAUCCGCUCUAGCGGGGUAGAAUCCCUUCUCGAGGUUCGUUUACUGUAAGGUCUGCCUUAAGUAAGUGGCGUUGACGUCUGGGUCCUGCGCAAUGGGAAUUCAUGAACCAUGUCAGGUCCGGAAGGAAGCAGCAUUAAGUGAAACCUCUCAUGUGCCGCAGGGUUGCCUGGGCUGAGCUAACUGCUUAAGUAACGCUUAGGGUAGCGAAUCGACAGAAGGUGCACGG